UACAGGUAAGAGUGGAGUGUGGAAAAACCCCUCAUCUUGUUAGAGAGGACAAACGGAUACAGCAAAGCAGGCAGCAGCCAGCUGCAGGUUCGCUUCAGCUAAGCCACAUAACCACUACUGACUUUUGACUUCCCCAAUUCAAAGUAUUUAGAUAUUGAGAUGCUUACUCUGAAAUGCUGUGGCAUCAGACCCCAGGAGUGGAGCCAGCAGAUCUGCAGCCAACACGGCUGCUGCCUUCAAUGCUGUAAAAUAACAUCAUACACCUUUUAAAAGGAAGUCAAAAAGGAGAUUUCCCAGCUUUCCCUCCAGGAAAGAGAGAAACACAAGUCAUUGGUUGAUUUGGCCAAGUAAAACACCACACUGCCUUCAAUUAAUGAAGACCUCAGACUGGAGGUGGGAUUCCUGCCCACCUUCCCUCAAUACUGCUUCCUCACAAACCUGGUGGGUUUCCCCUUUCCCAGCUCCUGGCCAGAGAAUGGGGCACUCAGGGCAGCACUGUCCUGAUACAAAAUCAGCUCUGGGGCAUCAACUGUGCCCAUGAGGUCUGGCCUGAUGUGCUGAAGACACCCUGCAUCCCUCCUUCCCACCCAAAAAGGGCCACUUUGCUGUGCCCAUUUCCAGGGCCACCCUGCUGCUCCAGGGCAGUGGCUUCUCCUGCUGUAAAUUAAUUCGCUCUUAAAGAAUAGCUGCAUUUUGUCAAAGUUUUGCCAGCAAUAUUGGACAAUUGCUGUAAUUUUUCCUUUGUAGGCAAUGGGCCAUGUAUUUUCCAUGGGGUUGUGUUGGGCUUUUUUUCUUAGACCAGUCUUUCUCCUAUUGUCUAGCACAUAAUUACACUCUGUGAACAAAGAAGUUUUGAUUUCUAGGGAAGUGCUGUGGAGAUGAUAUUUGUUUGGUCAUCCUUUGCUUUACUAAUUUUCGUGUUGGAAAGCCACUCAUUAAAUCUUUGCUGUCUACUUUCCAUGGAAAAGCUGAGUGGCAGGAUGAAGACCCUUCUCUACCUUCUCUUGCUGGCUGCAGGCAUCUCAGCUGCUCCCCAGAGGAGCAGCAUGGCUGAAUUACUGACACUACUACAGCAAAUGUAUGAAGUGAUGACAAAGGACAUUCAGAAUCUGAGGAUUGAAACUCCCAACAAUAUAGAUGAUGUGAAUUGUAUCAACACAAUCUUCGAAGGAACAGAACAGCUGAAAAAUAAUCCAGCUCUGAAAAAAUUCAAUGCUUUUUUCCAGAAUUUUGAAAGACUGAAGCAAUGGCUCAUGCCAAACCUGGCAAAAGAGGGGAAAUGUGAUACAGAAAGAAGGAACGCAACACUAUUUAUAAAAAAGCUGAUGGCAUUCAUCCGAAAACUGUUAAAACUCACAAGACUGGAGAGUUAGAAGUUUCUAAAAUUGCUGUAAAUUUAUAAGAGCAGUAAAAUCUUUCCUUGUUUAAGAAGUGUUCCUCCUUUGUAUUAAAAUUUGGCAGGGCACACCUUCAGUUUCAGUGGUACUGCACUGGUUCCUGUUUGGCACCUCAAAGUAUGAGGUGGCAAAUUGGCAAUUUGUAUUUUGAGACAAACAUUUAAAUGCUUGAUAAACCAAAUCAUGCAGGGGCUUACAGAAGGACCUGACUAGGAAUAAAAUCUCUGUUUCUCCUGAAGAGUUAAUUUCUGAGUGCCAGGGAGACAGAGCAGGGGUGGGUGUCAGCAGGAGCAGCUGGCUCACAGCACACUCCUCAUCCCAGCAGCCCUGGCCCCAGCGUCCUUGCUGUGCCAUCAGCCCCGAGUGACAGAGGGUGCAGGAUGGGGAUAUUGUCCCCUCUGCCUUUCCUGGAAACCAGACUGGGCCAGUGCAGGGGAACAGCAAUAUGGGACAGUCAGAAUACCCUUCCAACUUUGAAGGUUUCAGGUCAUGUUUCUACCAGAAUGUUUUACUGCUCUCACACAACCUCCUUGUUCCAUAAGCACUGAGAAACACAUCCUGGGAUUCUACUCUACCUGAAGCUUUGUGUAAAUUUGACAACUAAAGAUUUGUAUGCAUCUGAACAUAUAGCACUUAGAGAUUAAAUAGGUUUUCUGUAAUGUUAAUGGAUAGGAGUGUUUAGAUCACUACAGAUUUAUUUCUAUUGUGUCAAUUAAGUUAUGUUAUAUUUUACAGACAAAAGGUUUUUGGAGAAAAUAUUUAUUCUGUAUUUUUACUACUUUUAAUAAAAUGAAUAAUUGUUUGUCUCUGCCUUUCUCCUUCCCUUUCCCCCCAGAUUUCUUCCAAGGUAUUGCCACACUUCAGGAAAUCUAGUUAUCAGUCAGGGCACUCAGAUCCUUGAGGUGAGCAAGGAAAUGUAUUGCUGAAAGCUAUUUCCAAUGAUACAUGAAUUAAA